GUCAGGAUGUCCGAGCGGUCUAAGGCGCUGCGUUCAGGUCGCAGUCUCCCCCUGGAGGCGUGGGUUCGAAUCCCACUUCUGACA
rnacentral:tRNA from 1 species